rnacentral:lncRNA from 1 species
AGAGAAUGCUAAUGAGCUGUGAAAUGACCAAAGAUCUGGCAGCAGAAGGGAAAAGAAAAAAUAAUGGGAACAAGAGGAUUUAUCUGACUCAACUGGAGAUGGCUCCCUUCCCUAAUUUAUUGUUGCAUCCUGAAGCUUCCCCCAUGCUGGGCUCAGUGUGAACAAACAGCGCGGGAGAAUGCAACCACUGCAGAGGCAUAUGUUUGAGAUGCCUGGCCACUGGAGGUCAUCUCGUCUACUAUGUUCACCACAGAUAAAGAAUGAAAAGAGAAUAUACAACCUUGUGAUUGCUAGCAGUGAAAGCUCAGAGUUAUGACAUAACAGAAUUAAAUUGAGUUCAAGCAGCUUGGAACAGCUUGAUGGCUUCUUUCUGCCACAGAAGGUGCCAGGUGUCCUGCAUCUAGACUCUGACAGCCUAUUGAUUGGUUGGAAAGAACCCAAGGGGACAUGGGCACAGCAUCCCUUCCUGGGCCUCUUCCUCAGGUGGUGCGGGUGGGAAAUCAGGAAGCUCCCAGACAUGGAGCAACUCAGGUGAUCAUGGAACAGAGAGAAGAGGGGCUUGAGCAGAGAGAAUGCUUAGAGGCUAAGCGAUGGGCAAGUGAGAGGGAAAGAGCCGCGACAGACAGAGCUGGCUGCCUAGGGGUCUCAGAGGCUUCAUCCUGCAGGCGGCAGGCGGCAGGACAAAGGGACCUUCGCACUCGAGAUCAAGAUUCCAAGGAGUUAAACGCUACCACGCAGCCCGACCUGGAUGGGAUUUGCUCCUGGGUACAAAACGGGACACUGAUCAAAAUCAACUUGGACAAGUGACAAGAGUGAGUCUUAUGUCGGUGGAUGUCUUUUAAGGUCGUUGGAGGGAAGAGGACGGGAGGGGUGUGCCGAGGGGUAGGUGGAGAGAGGCACCGAGUCCAGAGCCGGGAUAUAAAUGCACCAGGAGCCGGGGAGCAGAGGAGCAAAUGAGUGGGGGAAAGAGUGAGAGGAAGAGUUGGAGAAAAGUCGGGGGAAAGUAGGGACAGGGUUAAGGGGAGAGAGGAGGAUGAGGGCGGCGAGGAGAGAUUAAAAGGGGAAGGGGGGUCGCUGGAGAGGAGGGCGGACUGUGGAUCGGAGGUAGGGAGAGGGGCGAGGGGAGUGCGCGGGGUGGGGGGCGCCGGGGCGAGGAG